rnacentral:misc_RNA from 1 species
UCCCUCACCGGUGGCUACCGCGUAUGCUCCUAUCUCGAUCCAUCAGAAGCCAACCACACUCGUGUCAAGCAGCUUCUCUUCGACUUGCUUGCUUCUCGUAAAUCCUUUGUCAUCCCUAGCUUUCAGUCCUCCUACCUGGCUAUGUUCGAUGAGAUGGAGAAGCAGGUAGCCGCCUCCGGUGAGUCGGACUUCAACAAGCUGAACGAUGAUACUGGUCUUGAUUUCCUUGGAGAUGCCUACUUUGGCACAAAGCUAUCGGCGACCGCCGUAGGCUCCAGCGGGCCGACUAAGGCGGCAAAGUGGCUGAUCUUCAGCCUGGCCCCGCUGGUCACUCUCGGGCUUCCGAAGAUCAUCGAAGAGAUUUUUCUACACACAUUCCCGCUGCCGCCCUUUCUUGUAAAGCGCGACUACAAGUCGCUUUAUGAGUACUUCAGAAAGGCUGCCGGGCCGGCGCUUGACCGUGCCGACAAGUUGGGGCUGUCGAGGGAGGAAGCAACUCAUAACCUCUUGUUCGCUACGGUGUUCAAUAGCUAUGGAGGCUUAAAGGUGUUGUUUCCUUCAUUACUAGCAAGUAUAGCCAAGGCAGGAGCAACCCUACACUCGAGACUUGCUGAGGAGGUGAGAGCUGCCGUUAAGGCGGAGGGCGGAGAGGUCACACUCGCAGGCAUCGAG